rnacentral:lncRNA from 1 species
GGUUCUCCAAUCACGUGACCGUCGGUCAUGCGAUUCCUAUAGCGCAAGCUCAUCAACGAAUUUAACUUAUUAAUGCAUCGGUUCAUUAUUCAUUUGUGAUCAGUAUUUCAGUCCGCUUACAAAUUUAAUGAUUGAAAUAUCGUGUUAAGUUUCUAAUGGUAAUUGGUAAAGAAUUCCUAAGUUGUUAAAUAAAAACAAUCUUUAAGUACCUAAUCAGACAUCAAGUCCACUGUUUUAGUUUCAGUCCUGAAGGAACACGGACAAGGGAGUCGCAGCUUGCCGCGCUGAUUUAAACUGACGAAGUGCGAAAUUUGUACUACUGUACUUCGAUUGUUCACUCAAGGGUCACGCGAUGGCGGAACGUCGACAACGGAACGUACAACGGGGUCACGCGAUAAGAGAGCUCGUACAGCAGAAAAGACGCAGACCAGAGGAAAAGACGCAGGAGCCACUGGCCACAGCUGCUGCAGGAGCCACUGGCCAAGAUCCACCCGAGUCACGUGCGCAGGCGCAGCAGACGAGUGGGUCGUCGUCGUCGUCUGACGACGACGAGUGUGCGCCUGAGGCCUCCCGUGACGGGCUCG